rnacentral:sRNA from 1 species
UUUUUCGAAAGUUAACUUAAAACCGUCACGUUCUGUGACAACGGUUAACUGACCUGCAUUACGCAGA